UAUAUUCGUGAUGGCUUUAAAAGGUAUCAAAUCAAAAUCAAAAUUACCAGAAAAAUAUAGGUAAAAUUCAUGAUAAAAUGCAUCAGAAUGCAGCUUUCAAGUAGCUAACAACUUCGACUAAUUAACAACUCUAGCCAACAACUAACGAAAUAAUAAGUAAAGUAAACAGUUAUCUAUAAGAAAUAUGAAGGAUAUACAUAUAAACUAUGUAAAAAUUCAAUAUACAGAUAUACAUAUAAACUAUGUAAAAAUCUAAUAUACCGAUAUACAUAUAAACUAUGUAAAAAUCUAAUAUACCGAUAUACAUAUAAACUAUGUAAAAAUCUAAUAUACAGAUAUACAUAUAAACUAUGUAAAAAUCCAAUAUAUAUGUUAAUUUAGUUUAUUAAUUAUAAUAUUAUAAUGGGAAAUAUAUAAUUGAUCCUGGAGUAUAGAAUAAGAGAGCAUAUCCGCCGAAUUUAAGCAUAUAAUUAAGCGGAAGAAAAGAAAAUAACAAUGAUUCCUUUAGUAACGGCGAGUGAACGAGGAAGAGCUCAAAAGGAAAAUCCGCUUCAUGGUGAAAACUAUGAUGUGGAAUUGUCUGGUUAGGGUUUAUUUAUUCCUCCCUAUGCUUUGUUGGGUACGAAAUUAGUAGGAAUACUAUUCCAUAGAGGGUGAAAGGCCCGUAGUUCCCUACAAUUAUAGAUGGAGAUUACUCCCUGUAGAGUAGUGUUCUUUGAGAUUGGAGCGCAAAUUCGUGUGAUAUAUUUCACAUAAAGCUAAAUAUUUGUAGGAGACCGAUAGCAAACAAGUACCGUGAGGGAAAGAUGAAAUAGCACUCAGGAAUGAGAUUUAAAUAGUACCUGAAAUCGUUAAGGUGGAACGGAUUGAGAGAUAUAUAACGUAAGAUAUAAUUAAAUGCUAGUCGGCGGGCUUAGCUUUAAGAGGAAGGAAAAUUAUCUAUCUUAUUAAAAUAAGCAGGAGUGAACUUUUAGGAUAAUUAAAAUAUGGCCAAGUAUUCUUUAUAAUCAUAGUAUGAUUAAUAAAGUUUUCGUAUCACUCCGCUAAAGGUUUAUGCGAGCUAUUUUGAUAUAUCCAGUUUACUGAGGUGUAAUAAAAUUUGUAGGAGUGACGUCCAUACAUAUUUAAGUUGCUUUUAAAAACUAUUUCUCAACCCACCCGUCUUGAAACACGGACCAAGGAGUCUAACAAAUGUGCGAGCGUAUAUAUAUAUGUUUUAAAUAUACUAUAAAGAAAUUAUACUUUAUAAUUACGCAUAAUUAAUGUGACCAUUUUUGGCUUAAAUGGAUGUAGAUUAUACUGAAAUUAAAUAAUAUUUAAUUUCAUUUGAAGUAUAUGCAUACAAUGCCUGUUAGCAAUUAUGCUAAAUUGAGUAAGAGUAUAUUUGUUAGGACCCGAGAGGCUUUGAACUAAGCGUGGUGAGAUUGAAGUCAAAUUUUUUUGAUGGAGGAUCGAAUUGGUACUGACGUGCAAAUCGUUCAUUUCAAUCACGUUUAGGGGCGAAAGACUAAUCGAAAAGCCUAUUAGCUGGUUAUUUUCGAAAGAUCUCUCAGGAUCGCUGGAGUUGAUUAAUAUAAUUUUACGAGGUAGAGAUAAAGAUUAGAGGAAUCAGGGAAAUAUGUAUCCUUGACCCUAUUCUAGAUCUUACAAUACGUAACAAGGGAUUAAUAUCUUAACUGUAUUUUUUCCACUUAUAAAUAAAAUAACUCCAAGUGGGCCAUUUUUGGUAAGCAGAACUGGCGAUGAGGGAUGAUCCUAACGCUUGGAUAAGGUGCCUAAAUAUUCGUUAAUAGAUACCGUUAAAGGUGUUGGUUCGUAUUGACACUAGGACGGUCUUCAUAGAAGUCGAAAUCCGCUAAGGAGUGUGUAACAACUCACCUACCGAAUGAACUAGCCCUGAAAAUGGAUGGCGCUAAAACGGAUUACCGAUACCGAGCCAUAGAAAGAGACCAAACUAGAAGAUUUACGCCCUUAGUAGUUUCUUAAAUCUUUCUAUGAGUAGAAAAUCGUGGGGUUUGUGUAGAAGCAAUAUGCGUGAGCUAUUGUGGAACAUAUCCCUAGUGCAGAUCUUGGUGGAAGUAGCAAUAUUCAAAUGAGAACUUUGAAGACUGAAGUGGAGAAGGGUUUCUUGCCAACUACAAUUGUACAAGAGUUAGCCGCUCCUAAGGGAAAGCUGAAAAGCAUUUAAAUGGGGAUUUGGUGCUUCAAGCAAUUGUUGCAUUUUUUCUCUGUCCCAAAAGGGAAACAGGCUAAUAUUCCUGUGCCUAUGUCAAUGUUAUGUAUAGAUGAUGGUAACAUAAUUAGAGUGAACUUCUUAACGUAGGUUUUUCUGCCGACAUGCGUUAUCUUUGCAUGUUAACUCUUAGACGAACCUUGGAAUCAAUUUAAUUGGAGAAGAGGUCUGUUUAAUUCCAAUUCAGAAGGUUUUUAAGUGUGAAUUAUUUUAUAAUUCUCAUUUAAAAAAGUUCUGUUUUGUAGCAAUAGUAAUUCGAAUUUGGAUUAUCGGUAUGUGAAAACUACCCUUGAAAAAAGAGGGGAACAGCUAUAUGUAAUGGGUAUAUUUUGAAUUUUCAAGAGAGAUGUAUAUUAAAGUGUAAUGGUUUGUAAUUAAGCCUACAAAUAUUGCAAUUUGUAUAUAAUUGCUUUUAAAUGAUGAAUAUAUUACAUUAUGAUAGCAUAUAUAACGACAACACAUAGAGCGUACCCACAACCGCAUCAGGUCUCCUAGGUUAGUAGCCUCUGGUUAAAUAGAAAAAUGUAAGUAAGGGAAGUAAGCAAAAUGGAUCCGUAACUUCGGAAAAAGGAUUGGCUCUGAGGGCAUAGAGUAAAUAUUUUUAAUUAAGAUUUGAAAAUGUAAUGUAAAAGUUAUGGCGUAUGCGCUAUAUGCGUUUACAUUAUUUACUUUCUAUGAUUUUUUAUUUAAUAGUUAUUCGGAACCAUAUAAAGUCCCUAUACUGUGACUCUUUAUCAUGGGUAGGCCCUUUAUAUGAGGAAAUCAUGCCAACUCAGAACUGAAACGGACAAGGGGAACCCGACUGUUUAAUAAAAACAUAGCAUUGUGAAAGCCAGAAAUGGUAUUAACACAAUGUGAUUUCUGCCCAGUGCUUUGAAUGUCAAGUUGAUGAAAUUCAAUUAAGCACAGGUGAACGGCGGGAACUAUAACUCUCUCUCUUAAGGUAUCCUAUUGCUCGUCAUGAUUUUGUGACGAGACGGAUGGAUUAACGAGGUUCCCACUGUCCCUACUUGCAAUCUAGCGAAACCACAACCAAGGGAACGGGCUUGGUAAAAUCAGCGGGGAAAGAAGACCCUGUUGUGCUUUACUCUAGUCUGGCUUUGUGAAACGACUUAAGAGGUGCAGAAUAAGUGGAAGCCGAGAUUGAAAUAUAUUUUUGCGACAAUGAGAUACCACUACUUUUAAAGUUGUUUUACUUAUCUAUUUACUAGGAUACUAUAUACAUACUAAUUACUGUGUUGAAAGAUAACGCAAAGUUAUCUUAUUAUCCUACACCCAGGUAUAUAGAGACAUAGCCAGGUGGGGAGUUUAACUGGGGCGGUAUAUCUGUCAAAUAAUAAUGCAGAUGUCCAAAGACAAGCUCAAAGAGAACAGAAAUCUCUUGUAGACUAAAAGGGGAAAAGCUUGUUUGAUUUCUAUUUUCAGAAAAAGUAGAAAACGUGAAAGCGUGGCCUAUCGAUCCUUUAUUAUUGCAAAAUUACAAGACUUGUUCUUUACUAUGCAUAUAGAGGUGACUGAAAAGUUACCACAGGGAUAACUGGCUUGUGGCUGCUAAGCGUUCCUAGCGACGUGGCUUUAUGAUAUUCGAUAUCGGCUCUUCCUAUCAUUGGGACGCAGAAGUCCCAAAGUGUCGGAUUGUUCACCCGCUAAUAGGGAACGUGAGCUGGAUUUAGACCGUCGUGAGACAGGUUAGUUUUACCCUACUGAUGAAUUUUAUUAUUUUAAUAUAUAAUAUAUUGUGACAGUAAUCCAACUUGGUACGAGAGGAUUAGUUGGUUCAGACAAUUGGUACAGCGAUUGGUUGACAAACCAUUGUCGCGAAGCUACGUCUGUUGGAUAAUGGCUGAACGCCUCUUAAGCCAGAACCCAUGCUGAUUAAACAAUAUUAUUCGCUCUUUUUUGUGACCUUUUACUACUUAAAUGUAAGAGAGAAAAUAUAUGUAUUCAUUACCAAUAUAUGGUUGAAUAUAACUAUUCCUAUGGUUCAUAAGGACGCAAAUACGUUUCCUUUUGGAUAAAAAGAAAUUUAACAACAAAAAAGAUAUACACAAAUUGUUGACGACUUUUAUAUCUGAAGGUGCUGUAAAUAUGAAAGAAAACCCUGCUUUACGAUCUGUUGAGGCUUACCCUUCUUGAUAAAGUGUAAUUUUUAUAAAAACCAAAUUUUAAUAUAAUAUAAAAUGAUUAUUUUAUGCUGUAUAUUAAUGUAUGCAACAUAACAUAAUUAUUUUAUAUUAUAUCUUACAAUUUUAAAAAUCAAACUUUUACAUUUCUGAUGAUUGCAAUUAUAUGACAUGUGUGUUUUAAAUCCUUAUUUCUUCUUAUUUUAUAUAUGCCUUUUUAUUAUUAUGUGUUUUGGACUUGGACUUAGGCUUUUUGUAGUUAAUAUGUGCAAAUGUUUUUAACUUAACAUUUGUAUGGAUUCUUAAUUAAGCCCUAAGCCCUUAACAAUUUUUAAAAUCAAACUUUUACAUUUCUGAUUAUUGCAAUCACGUGAUAUUUUUUCUUAUUUUUAUAUAUGCCUUUUUAUUAUUGUGUGUUUUGAGCUUUGAACUUAGCCUUUUUGCAUAAUAAUAAUAUACACCUUUUUGAACUUAGCCUUUUUGCAUAAUAAUAAUAUACACCUUUUUGAACUUAAGAUUUUUAAUAUAAAUAUAUAAAACCAUUAAUAAUUAUAUAAAUAUUAGUGUCCAAAAAAUGCGGCAGAUAUUAUCGCCAUAUGUCAUGUGAUAGUUUAUUUGAAAAGCACAUAUUUAUGUUCUUACAACAAUAUGAAUUUUUGAAAAAGGCAGGAAACUAGUAUAUUAUUUAUUAGCUAUAUAACAAUAUGACGAAAUUUAUUCAAGUAUUAAUUUUGUAUACUUUCGAAUAGGUCAAUCAAUGGAUAACUUAUAGUAAAUUGAUAAAAACAUGUAUGUAAUAUUAUAGUUUAUCCCAAAAUCGUAAUUUUCACAUACUUAUAUAUUUUGAGGAUAUUAUAAGAGAAGUUCAUAGAGGGGAAAUAACUUACACAUGUAGAACUUGGUAAUAUUAUUAAAUAAUAUGCUUUAUUAAAGAGUUAAAAAUAUUUGCAAAUGUAUAUUUAUAAUUUAAUUAUAUAUAACAUGAAGUUGUAAUGUUUUGACAUAAAAUUUUAAUUAUAGUUAAUUCUUUGGAAUAAUUUCUUGUCUUAUUUUACAUGACUUUUAACAAUAUAAAAUGAAAAUAUUAUUAUAUUAGACUGUAAUAUAUUAUAAUACUUUUUAGGUAUCAUAUUAUUUUACUGUGUAAAAUUAAUAAGGUAAUUUUAUGAGCAUGUUAUGAAAAUAAUUAAAUAAAUGAAAUAAUAAAAUUAGUUGUAUAAAUGAAAUAAUAAAAUUAGUUUGUAUGUAUUAAUUAUAAUAUUUAUUAAGUAUAUACUAUAAUUUUUUUAUGAUGUAGACUUUGUAUAUUUAUACAAUAAAGUAUGUUUAUAAUAUGAGCAAGCAAUUGUGGGGGGGCAUGUUUAACAGUAUUACUACUAAUUAUUAUAUAUUUGUGUAUUUUUGGGGUCGUAAAAUGUAUUGUAAAUAAUUAUAUUUUUCAAUUACAUUUAUGGAUAUCAUAUUGGUUAUUCAUUUAAAUUGUCAAAAUAAUAUAAUUAAUUUUAACUUAUUUUUUAAGUUCAAGUUGUAUUAUUUAUACAAUUUAUUGGCACUAACAAAUAUGGUAUAGGAAAUUAUAAAUGGGAGUUCAUUUGAAUAUGAAUAAACCAUAAUAAUGUAUGUGUGUUUUUAAUUAUUUUAUGUGUAAACAAUUUUUUAUAUAGUUAAGAAUCUUUAAUUGUUCAAAAAAAAAUCAACAGUAAUAUUUAGUAUAACAUAACAACUUAUUAAUCAUAUGUGAAUCGAAUAAAAUGUGGCACGCCACAAAAAAAUAGUAAUAUAAAUACAACAAGUUAAAAAUAUAAUAAAUAAAACGUAUUUUAAAAUUCCCAUGCAUAUACAGGCACAAAAAAUAUAUGCUAUAAAUUACAUAAAAAACUUAAUGUGUUGAAUGAAUAGGUUAUUGACUCUAUAGUUGUAUGCAUUAUAAGCAGCUAAAACAAGACGAAAAUAUAUCGAAUUAUGUUUUGUGAAUAAACGAAAAAAAUUUAACUAUAAUAUAUAUUGCUAUAUAUUAUAUAUAUAUAUUUAAUUUGUUUAUACAUAAAUAGCAUUAUGAAUAUAUCGUUGGUACAACAAAAUAUUGUUAAAAUUUAUGCAUUCGAUUUUGUUUGAUAUGGAUAUUAUUUCCAUACUUCGAACUGUUUAGAUUUGUAAAUUUGUCAUUUCUCAUUUUAUUUUUUAUAAUAUCAUCUCUUGUUGGACUAUUUCUAUGUGAAUAAUAAUUUUUAUAGUUUUUAUUAAUUAAUUUUUUAUUUGAAUAAGUAUGAAAAUGGCCAUUUCUGUUAUAAUUAUUAUUGUUCAUGUUAUGCUUUUCUCCAUUUCCAUAAUAAUAAUCAUGAUUUUUAUAUUUUUUAUAAUGAUAUUCAUCAUCAUUAUAAUUUUCAUUGUAUUUAUUUUUAUAAUAAUUUUCAGGGUGAUAAAAAGGUUUUUUACCGCCACUUUUUGAAUAAUGUUCUUUUUCGUACUUGUUAUAAUCUUGAUAUUUUUUUUCAUAGUCAUUAAUGUCUCCAUUAUCCCGUUCACUAUUUCGUUCAUGUUGUUCAUUUUUUUCAUCAUUAUUUUUUUCAGUAUCAUGUUUUUCUCCGUUGUAUUUAUUAAGUUCAUCUUUAUUAUUGUUAGGGUUAGGAUUAUCGGUAAGGUGGCCAUUGUAAUUAUCUUCAUUGCUAUUUUUACUCUUUAAGUUAUCUUCAAUUUUAUAUGUUUUAUUUGUAUUAAUUUUUUCUUCUGAAUUGGGAGGUGACGUAGUAUUAUUGGAAAUUAAUUUUUCGUCAUCGUUCUUGAUUUUUUUUUCGUACUUAUUUAUUAUAUGCCUAUUACUACUGGUAUAUUUAUUUGGGUAUUUCUCAUAAUUAUGUGUAUAUUUAUUAUCAUAAUUAUUUCCACUUCUUUCAUAUCUAUAAUGCUCAUUUCUAUCAUAUCGACGAUCUUCAUUCCUACUAUUAUACUUAUGAUAUUCAUGCCUGUCAUAUUUAUUACUAUUAUUGUUGCUAUGAGUAUAUUUGUCAUAUCUGUUAUGCUCAUAUUUAGUGUUAUGUUUUUCAUAUUCUCCAUACUUAUAUUUAUUUUCAUUUUGAUGUUCAUACUUAAAAUCAAGUUUUUUGCUAAAUCGUUUAUUCAUUUUAUCUUGUUCAUUAUUACUGUGUCGAUCGUAUUUAUCUGAGUGAUGUGAAUUAUUAUUUUUAUUGAAUUGAUCAUGUUGGUUAUUAAAAUUGCUUUCUUUUUCAUCAUUAUCGUGAUUAUUGGUUUUAUAAUUGGUACUAUCAUAUGAUUUAUAUCUAUUUUCUUUAUGUCUUCUUUCUGAUUCAAUACUCUUAUUAUUUCUGUGUAUUUUAUUGU